UUUUAUGAGAGUUUGAUCCUGGCUCAGGACGAACGCUGGCGGCGUGCCUAAUACAUGCAAGUCGAACGCUUCUUUUUCCACCGGAGCUUGCUCCACCGGAAAAAGAGGAGUGGCGAACGGGUGAGUAACACGUGGGUAACCUGCCCAUCAGAAGGGGAUAACACUUGGAAACAGGUGCUAAUACCGUAUAACAAUCGAAACCGCAUGGUUUUGAUUUGAAAGGCGCUUUCGGGUGUCGCUGAUGGAUGGACCCGCGGUGCAUUAGCUAGUUGGUGAGGUAACGGCUCACCAAGGCGACGAUGCAUAGCCGACCUGAGAGGGUGAUCGGCCACAUUGGGACUGAGACACGGCCCAAACUCCUACGGGAGGCAGCAGUAGGGAAUCUUCGGCAAUGGACGAAAGUCUGACCGAGCAACGCCGCGUGAGUGAAGAAGGUUUUCGGAUCGUAAAACUCUGUUGUUAGAGAAGAACAAGGAUGAGAGUAACUGUUCAUCCCUUGACGGUAUCUAACCAGAAAGCCACGGCUAACUACGUGCCAGCAGCCGCGGUAAUACGUAGGUGGCAAGCGUUGUCCGGAUUUAUUGGGCGUAAAGCGAGCGCAGGCGGUUUCUUAAGUCUGAUGUGAAAGCCCCCGGCUCAACCGGGGAGGGUCAUUGGAAACUGGGAGACUUGAGUGCAGAAGAGGAGAGUGGAAUUCCAUGUGUAGCGGGUGAAAUGCGUAGAUAUAUGGAGGAACACCAGUGGCGAAGGCGGCUCUCUGGUCUGUAACUGACGCUGAGGCUCGAAAGCGUGGGGAGCAAAACAGGAUUAGAUACCCUGGUAGUCCACGCCGUAAACGAUGAGUGCUAAGUGUUGGAGGGUUUCCGCCCUUCAGUGCUGCAGCUAACGCAUUAAGCACUCCGCCUGGGGAGUACGACCGCAAGGUUGAAACUCAAAGGAAUUGACGGGGGCCCGCACAAGCGGUGGAGCAUGUGGUUUAAUUCGAAGCAACGCGAAGAACCUUACCAGGUCUUGACAUCCUUUGACCACUCUAGAGAUAGAGCUUCCCCUUCGGGGGCAAAGUGACAGGUGGUGCAUGGUUGUCGUCAGCUCGUGUCGUGAGAUGUUGGGUUAAGUCCCGCAACGAGCGCAACCCUUAUUGUUAGUUGCCAUCAUUUAGUUGGGCACUCUAGCAAGACUGCCGGUGACAAACCGGAGGAAGGUGGGGAUGACGUCAAAUCAUCAUGCCCCUUAUGACCUGGGCUACACACGUGCUACAAUGGGAAGUACAACGAGUCGCAAAGUCGCGAGGCUAAGCUAAUCUCUUAAAGCUUCUCUCAGUUCGGAUUGUAGGCUGCAACUCGCCUACAUGAAGCCGGAAUCGCUAGUAAUCGCGGAUCAGCACGCCGCGGUGAAUACGUUCCCGGGCCUUGUACACACCGCCCGUCACACCACGAGAGUUUGUAACACCCGAAGUCGGUGAGGUAACCUUUUGGAGCCAGCCGCCUAAGGUGGGAUAGAUGAUUGGGGUGAAGUCGUAACAAGGUAGCCGUAUCGGAAGGUGCGGCUGGAUCACCUCCUUU
rnacentral:rRNA from 1 species